UAAUAAUAGUAUGUUAAAUAUUCUUUUAUGCCUUCAACGGCACAGUUAGUGCGUUCCCUUCUUUUCGCUCCAUUUCUUCUCCAUUUUUUUCACAUACCAGAUCUCCUUCACCUGAAACUAACUUCGUCUCGUGACUCUCUGCCGCGCCUCCGACUACAACUGUAGUUACAAUCGGAGAAUUUAGUAAUGGCCGGACGAAGCUGAAUGGAGUUCUAGAGAUUGCUGAAAGUUCAUUCAAGCCUUGAAUGCGGUGUGGUUAUUCCUAUCUUAUGCAAAGAAAUAUGCUGUGCUGCAGGACAGGAAACAGUUUCAAAAAGAAAAAAAUGAUUUGACGAUGAUUUGUUCGCAGAUAGCUGAUCUGGAUUGAAG